rnacentral:lncRNA from 1 species
AGAAGCAGUUAUAUCCCUAAGUCAUAAAGCAGCAGCUGGGCCCAAGAUUCCUGGCAUCCUUCCAAUCUCACCUCCCCCGCCCUAUUUACCCAGGAGCAAAAGAAGCGGAGGGAAGCAACACAGCGCAGCGUGACUACGUGCUUGAUCUGUCUCCUCCUAACGGGCAUGCAGGCAACCCAGGUGCCUUAGGUAAGUGACCCCAUUCCCUGCCCUGCCUUGGAGGGCCGGAUGAGUCAAAGAGUAAUCUUAUCCCUCUGCUAGUGAGUACAAAUGAAGUCUGUGGGCCAACAAGGAGCGAGGAGCAGUUUCCUGGAAGCCCUGGGCUGGUGUUUGACUUGCUUUGAGAUAGAAUAAAUGGGAGAAAGAGACUUUAUGGGACAUCUGGGCCUAGGGCUCCUGGAUGCUGUGCUGAAAACACCACGUACAGAAGCCAGUCUAACCUUCUGGAUGAUGAGAGCCCAGAUGCAGUACAGAGGUGCCCCAGCCAACAAUCAGCUGCUAUCUGAAUCCCAUCUGGAUCCCAUCUGAAUCCCAUGUCACCAUGAAUGAGGCCACCUUAGCCCAGCCAGCACAGCUGAAAGCCAGAAGCAGCCGCAUGCACAAGCCCAGGGGAAGCCCACAGAGGAACCACCAGCCAACACACAGAAUUGCAAGCAGUUAAGCAACUAAGAUUAAGACAACAAUUUUAAAAUGAACCAGGUCCGGCCGGGUGCGGUGGCUCUCAGGCCUGUAAUCCCAGCACUUUGGGAGGCCGAAGCGAGCGGGUCACCGGAGGUUGGGAGUUCGAGACCAGCCUGACCAACAUGGAGAAACCCCGUCUCUACUAAAAAUACAAAGUUAGCCAGGCGUGGUGGCGCAUGCCUGUAAUCCCAGCUACUCGGGAGGCUGAAGUAAGGUUAUAACAUGGCCUGGCGUGCAGUACGUGCUCAAUAAAUGCUCACCGUUAUUGUUGAUCAGGCAUUUCUGAUCUUGUCCCCUAUGCCAUUCACUAUGAGGGCUCACGAUGACAGGCAAGAAACAAGUAAUCUACUAGGGAAAUAAUUGGGGAACUCUCAGGAACACCACAAUGGCUAGAGAGCCUAGGAAAGCAGUUCAUACACUGGAGGCCAAAAAGAAGGACUCGUGCCUGCCAUGUGUGUGGCAGAAGCUUCCGAGUAUCAACUAUUAAUAAUAUCAUUUUCCUUUCUUAUUAUUAAUAGAACCCCAGCUUUUAAGUUGGUCUCCGCAGAGGACAACUGCAUUCUCCAGCCUCCUGUACAGCAGAGAGUGCCAUGUGACUAAGACCAAGUUCUAACCAGUGGGAUCAAAGCAGGGAAGUGUUGCCUUCUUUGCCCCUUCCUGCUGGCUGGAAUAUGACAAAACGGCUGCAGCAUGAGCAACCUUCUUGGGCCCUGAGGUGGAAGCCACCUGUUGGUUGACCGACCAGAUGGUGGAGUGACCAGAUAGAAGGGGCCUGGUGAUUGUGGAUUCUGCCACACUACCUCUGGUCCCCUAUACCUAUGUGAAAGGAAAAGAAAUGUCUGCCAUGUUCGUGUGUGUGUGUGUGUGUGUAGUGUGUGUGUGUGUGUGUGUGUCUGCCAUGUUUAAGCCACUAUAACUUUGGGAUAUCUGUGGCUUAUAGUCAAAUCUAAUCCAAACAAAUGCACCUCUAUGUCCCCCUCACAGAUAAGAAGAUUGAUGCAAGGGAACCCCUGAUGUGGCCAUAACACAAAGAUAGCUUCAACCACCACCGAUACGGAGCUGGACUCCGCCCUUCCUGGCCUCCUGGCCUUUUAUUCCCCGCUAAUUCCUCUGGAUUCCUAAUGACUCCCAUUCCCUGCAUGCACACCAGGUACAGUCACAUCUCCUGGCGUUUACUCUUGCCAUACCCAGUGUCCAGCUUCCCUCCCUUAUCUUUGUUUUGUUUUGUUUUUUGAGACGGAGUCUUGCUCUGUCGCCCAGGCUGGAGUGCAGUGGUGUGAUCUCGGCUCACUGCAACCUCCGCCUCCCGGGUUCAAGCCAUUCUCCUGCCACAGCCUCCCCAGUAGUUGAGAUUACAGGCACAGGCA